rnacentral:rRNA from 1 species
UGAACCUUCGGGGAACGAUAACGGCGUCGAGCGGCGGACGGGUGAGUAAUGCCUGGGAAAUUGCCCUGAUGUGGGGGAUAACCAUUGGAAACGAUGGCUAAUACCGCAUAAUAGCUUCGGCUCAAAGAGGGGGACCUUCGGGCCUCUCGCGUCAGGAUAUGCCCAGGUGGGAUUAGCUAGUUGGUGAGGUAAGGGCUCACCAAGGCGACGAUCCCUAGCUGGUCUGAGAGGAUGAUCAGCCACACUGGAACUGAGACACGGUCCAGACUCCUACGGGAGGCAGCAGUGGGGAAUAUUGCACAAUGGGCGCAAGCCUGAUGCAGCCAUGCCGCGUGUAUGAAGAAGGCCUUCGGGUUGUAAAGUACUUUCAGCAGUGAGGAAGGUGGUGUACUUAAUACGUGCAUCAUUUGACGUUAGCUGCAGAAGAAGCACCGGCUAACUCCGUGCCAGCAGCCGCGGUAAUACGGAGGGUGCGAGCGUUAAUCGGAAUUACUGGGCGUAAAGCGCAUGCAGGUGGUUUGUUAAGUCAGAUGUGAAAGCCCGGGGCUCAACCUCGGAAUUGCAUUUGAAACUGGCAGACUAGAGUACUGUAGAGGGGGGUAGAAUUUCAGGUGUAGCGGUGAAAUGCGUAGAGAUCUGAAGG